AUACUUACCUGGCCAGAGAUAUACCAUAAUCAGGAUGGUAGUUUUCCUAGGGUGAGGCUUAUCUAUUGCACUCUGGAUGUGCUGACCCCUGUGAUUUCCCCAAAUGUGGGAAACUUAACUGCAUAAUUUGUGGUAGUGGGGAACUGUGUUCACAUUUUCCCA
ensembl:snRNA U1 U1 spliceosomal RNA